rnacentral:rRNA from 1 species
AGAGUUUGAUCAUGGCUCAGGAUGAACGCUAGCUACAGGCUUAACACAUGCAAGUCGAGGGGAAACGACAUCGAAAGCUUGCUUUUGAUGGGCGUCGACCGGCGCACGGGUGAGUAACGCGUAUCCAACCUGCCCACCACUUGGGGAUAACCUUGCGAAAGUAAGACUAAUACCCAAUGACGUCUCUAGAAGACAUCUGAAAGAGAUUAAAGAUUUAUCGGUGAUGGAUGGGGAUGCGUCUGAUUAGCUUGUUGGCGGGGUAACGGCCACCAAGGCGACGAUCAGUAGGGGUUCUGAGAGGAACGGUCCCCCACAUUGGAACUGAGACGACGGUCCAAACUCCUAGGGAGGCA